rnacentral:rRNA from 1 species
GACGGAGGAUGCAAGUGUUAUCCGGAAUUAUUGGGCGUAAAGCGUCUGUAGGUUGCCUAACAAGUCUGUUGUUAAAGGUUAAAGCUUAACUUUAAAACUGCAGCAGAAACUGCUAGGCUUGAGUACAGUCGAAGUAGAGGGAAUUUCCAGUGAAGCGGUGAAAUGCGUAGAUAUUGGAAGGAACACCAAUGGCGAAAGCACUCUACUAGACUUUUACUGACACUCAGAGACGAAAGCUAGGGUAGCAAAUGGGAUUAGAUACCCCAGUAGUCCUAGCCGUAAACGAUGGAUACUAGAUGUUGCCCGUUCACCGCAGUGUCAAAGCUAACGCGUUAAGUAUCCCGCCUGGGAAGUAUGCUCGCAAGAGUG